ACUGCUCAGUAACACGUGGACAACCUGCCCUUAGGUUGGGUAUAAACCCGGGAAACUGGGUAUAAUACCCGAUAGGUCUCGAUUGCUGGAGUGCAUCGAGAUUUAAAGCUCCGGCGCCUAAGGAUGGGUCUGCGGCCUAUCAGGUAGUAGUGGGUGUAGCGUACCUACUAGCCUACGACGGGUACGGGUUGUGAGAGCAAGAGCCCGGAGAUGGAUUCUGAGACACGAAUCCAGGCCCUACGGGGUGCAGCAGGCGCGAAAACUUUACAAUGCUGGCAACAGCGAUAAGGGAACCUCGAGUGCCAGGUUACAAAUCUGGCUGUCGAGAUGCCUAAAAAGCAUUUCAUAGCAAGGGCCGGGCAGGACCGGUGCCAGCCGCCGCGGUAACACCGGCGGCUCGAGUGGUAACCGUUAUUAUUGGGUCUAAAGGGUCUGUAGCCGGCCGGAUAAGUCUCUUGAGAAAUCUGGCAGCUUAACUGUCAGGCUUUCAGGAGAGACUGUCUGGCUCGAGGCCGGGAGAGGUGAGAGGUACUUCAGGGGUAGGGGUGAAAUCCUGUAAUCCCGGUGGGACCACCUAUGGCGAAGGCAUCUCACCAGAACGGGUCCGACAGUGAGGGACGAAAGCUGGGGGAGCAAACCGGAUUAGAUACCCGGGUAGUCCCAGCUGUAAACUAUGUGCGUUAGGUGUGUCAGUGACCACGUGUCACUGAGGUGCCGAAGGGAAACCGUGAAACGCACCGCCUGGGGAAUACGGUCGCAAGGCUGAAACUUAAAGGAAUUGGCGGGGGAGCAC
rnacentral:rRNA from 1 species